UGGCUUACCAUAUUAUGGUUCACUAAUUUCGAUGCUCGCACACAGAGCGCGCCAAAGAGUUAGUUAAAAUUUCAUAUCAACUGUGUUUAUGGAUUACCUUGUUUUUAUCUUUUAACUUUUGUGUGAUUAAAAGCAACAUACCAUUUACUUCAAUUUUAAUCUCAUUUUACAUCAAAAGAUUAGUUUAUAAAAUAGCUGCAAUUAUGUUUAAAUAUAUUUAUUCUGAACCCAGCUCAGUCCCUUAGGUAAUUGCAAAUUCACUGGAAGGAUUUGUCAUUCGCAUUAAAUAUCAAGCAAAGUGCAUUCCGUUUCCUGUGUUUACACAGACAAUGUUGAUACUUGCCGUUUCGUAGAACAGAGAGAAUGAUUGAGUUCGUUGGUUGCAAACAGGGUUUACGUACCUCUGUGCUAUUCAACCAAUGAGGAUUCAGUUGAUCGAUCUCUUGCCAUUCCUCGUUUAUCGAGAAUGUAAUUCAACGCAAAGACGUUCCUGUGGUCAUUGGUGAAAUUCGAUCGUAAUCUAAAGUCAAGAUCGGAGAGGAACACCGAUCUUGAAGCGAUCACGAAUCGGCAGCGUACCUUUAAUUGAUAACCCGAUUAAUUAUGCAUUCGGACUUUGAGCGCAACACCAGUUCGCCAGUUCAAACAAGGGUGGCAAGUCGUUCGGAAUGCGGCAUGCAAAGUGCCGGCAUUGCGUGCACGACGGCUGUGAGCUAACGUGGCUUUUGUUAAAAGCGCUUAAAUUUAUAAUGACCACGGUUAUCGAGCGUCACGAUCGAAAAGCACCGGUUCAAAUUUAAAGAUACGUUGCAAACGUCCGCUCAAUCUCGCGAAGCCUUAGCAACAACCUUCGACGUCAAGUUAAUGGAAUUACAAAACGACAUAACUUCCCGAGUAAUUAUUUCUUCGGUAAAAAUUUUUAUCAGCCACUUUCACGUGCAUUCCGAAUAAAGCGGUAUAACUUACUAGGAAGUAGACGGAACACGCUUUCUUUCUCCCGUUGCAAGCGAAAGAAAAAAGGAAUUAUAGCUCACGAAGGCCUAUAAACGCGAGGCGUAAGAAAAGCGACGAGCAACGAGGGGCUAGCAACUUUCAGCUCGUGAACGGGAAAGGUUCAGACCGUUAACGACACCCUGCGCGGCUUUAAAAACUAAUAUUUCCAUCAUUGUUAGUUUUUACGACGUGGCGAAUAACGUGGCCUCGUCUCGUUCGUUUAAACGAAGAAUUACAGUACACCGUUGGGCUCGUCUUUACUUAUUACCCUGCAAUUAAAGAAAAGACACACAAAGGUACAAUGUGAGACUGCAUGGUCGCGUGCAACAAGGUAUAAUUUAAUUUAACCUACAUCAGAAAAAUAAUACAUCACACUUUUUUAUACCCGUAGUUGAUGCAUUUAUUUGCCAGUGUUCGUUGCUCUUUCUCGUAACCCCAGCAGUCCUCGGCAGAGACGGCGGUGUAAGACUUGAAGCUUGAAGGUGAGAUCGUUAGCGCGAAGAGUGUGACUUGGCAUUGUGUCUCGGAGUACGUCUUAAGUGUUAGUUUAUUGUUACCCGCUAGCCGGUGGGCAGGUUGUUCUUCCAUAUUUAAGCUGGUCCAUUAGUGCUCACCGGUCGCGUUUAUGUUUCGGAAUGCUGUGUGUUUGUCCCUUGAAAUAGCGCUCUGCACAGUCGAUAUGUCUGCCUCGCACACGUUUUGACUUUACCCUUUGUCGAGAAACAAAUUCUUGGUAAUCUGUCACAAUUUCUUACUCUUAAAAAAUCAACUUGGAACAGUAAUGUUACUGUAACCACCAAAUAUGACUUGGCUUAUUAUCACAUAUACUGACAAUUGUCUGUAUCUAAUGUGUAGCUUUGUACGUAGAUUAAAGCAAGAUAAAUUGGAUCCUUAUCACGAAGUCAAUUGCAGAAACGUAGCCCGAAUCAGGGUCCUUAAGAGAAGGAAAAGGUAAUUUUACCGACCGAGGACACGCGGUAGGCGGACUCAUUAAACUUUUCGCCGUUUCAUCCUUCGAAGGAAUCGUGUCGAGAGCAACGGCUCCCGCGGGAAUACCGGUGUGGCACGAUUAUACCGACCGCCAUGAGAAUCAAGCAGAGGGAAGGAUUAUACGAAGAAGGGUUAAAAUACUCCUCUUUCCGUCGCGCUACAAGAAUUCGAAUGCUUCCAAGAAGGGUGACGACGAAUUGAAGAAUUCUUUUGUUCUUUUCGUGACGUUUUCCGUUGUUUUCGCUCGUCCAGCGGGUCUAAUCGGACGAAAUUAAUGUCUGGAUGUUGUUGGCAGAAGUUAGUCGAGACGCCAUCGGUAUACUGUUACAGAAACGGAAAGAGGAAAAAUGGCGAGCCGGUAGGGUGUGGAGUUAUAAGUUUCCAUGUUGGUAUAGCUUUUCUUGCUCGCUUGUCGCCCCGUGUUUCUUCGUUAAUGUAAUUGACUGCCGGUGAAAGCGUCGAUCUGGCAAGUAGUAGAUGAUACAUGAGACCCAGCAUGCUCGGUUUCCUCUGGCCGAUGUCGCGUCCAAGUUACUCGUCCGAUUUAUCGAAUCGACGGUAAGGCGAUACGAUAGACGUAUCGAAUUAUACGCGAGCCAGGAUGCAUUGAGUUCCAACCGCAGUCUUGAAUCGCUUAUUCUCUGAUUACUCGUUCCCCGCUGCGGUAGGCUGUGCUUCAUUUGCGGAUGAAAAAUUGUUUUUGUCCACGUCGCAUCGUUUGCUCUACACUCUAGUUUCGUUUUUCUUUAUCUGCACAGAAGCCUUAAGUUCUUAUUUGUCAUAUAAUCUGUACAAGUUUGGAAAAAUCUGCUCUGAAGGUUAACAAUCAGCAGACUGGUUACUUGUGAAUUUAGAGUAUAUAGAAGUUUGCGAAUUUGUAAGAUCAGUAUGAUGAUUUGUUUUCGCAGACAAUAUAUUAUAAACGGAUAAACAUGAUAGGAUAUUAGAUAUAAAAUUAUCUAAAAGUCCGUGCAAUUUGUUCGCACCUCGAAACGUCGAAUUUUAUGAGAAGCAUUAAUUCUCUAAAAAAAUUGUGAAAUGCAUCGCUGCUCGAAUAAAUCUGGCCGAUUUUUGUAUUAUAGAAACGAUAAGCCAGCAUGGAGAACGGUGGCCGUAAAAUUUUAAUCCCUAUACCACGGUGGUUGCACCAUCGGCAAACCCAGCCCUUGAGCAAGUUUAAUUCUUGUGGGUCCCAUCGGUGACUUUAUCGCAAGAAAUUGCCACGGUCCGGAAACCGUCGUUACAGCAUCGUUACCGUAAGAACUUACUGGCGAGCAUUGUUACGGCUAAUGUUACCGAACUUAGUUAACUUUCAGUUUUACCGCCGAUUCGGAUUAAGAAUUUAUGGUAACGACCGACUCUUCGGUUUAUUCUCCGCCAAUGGAAGAACACGGGAAAACGUUUUCGACAGACACUUUAAUCACGAUGGUACUCCUCGAUGUAUGUUACAUUCGAACGUGUUCUUGAAUUUUUCAGUUACCUGUUUAUUAACAGGAUC